AUACGGAGGGGGUUAGCGUUGUUCGGAAUUACUGGGCGUAAAGCGCACGUAGGCGGACUGGAAAGUUGGGGGUGAAAUCCCGGGGCUCAACCCCGGAACUGCCUCCAAAACUUCCAAUCUAGAGAUCGAGAGAGGUGAGUGGAAUUCCAAGUGUAGAGGUGAAAUUCGUAGAUAUUUGGAGGAACACCAGUGGCGAAGGCGGCUCACUGGCUUGAUACUGACGCUGAGGUGCGAAAGCGUGGGGAGCAAACAGGAUUAGAAACCCUAGUAGUCC
rnacentral:rRNA from 1 species